rnacentral:rRNA from 1 species
CCUACGGGGGGCAGCAGUGAGGAAUAUUGGUCAAUGGACGAGAGUCUGAACCAGCCAAGUAGCGUGAAGGAUGACUGCCCUAUGGGUUGUAAACUUCUUUUAUAUGGGAAUAAAAUGUUCCACGUGUGGGAUUUUGUAUGUACCAUAUGAAUAAGGAUCGGCUAACUCCGGGCCAGCAGCCGCGGUAAUACGGAGGAUCCGAGCGUUAUCCGGAUUUAUUGGGGUUAAAGGGAGCGUAGGUGGAUUGUUAAGUCAGUUGUGAAAGUUUCCGGCUCAACCGUAGAAUUGCAGUUGAAACUGGCAGUCUUGAGUACAGUAGAGGUGGGCGGAAUUCGUGGUGUAGCGGUGAAAUGCGUAGAUAUCACGAAGAAUUCCGAUUGCGAAGGCAGUUCACUGGACUGCAACUGACACUGAGGCUCGAAAGUGUGGGUAUCAAACAGGAUUAGAUACCCGGGUAGUC